AUUGAACGCUGGCGGCAGGCCUAACACAUGCAAGUCGAGCGGAUGAGUGGAGCUUGCUCCAUGAUUCAGCGGCGGACGGGUGAGUAAUGCCUAGGAAUCUGCCUGGUAGUGGGGGACAACGUUUCGAAAGGAACGCUAAUACCGCAUACGUCCUACGGGAGAAGGCAGGGGACCUUCGGGCCUUGCGCUAUCAGAUGAGCCUAGGACGGAUUAGCUAGUUGGUGGGGUAAAGGCCUACCAAGGCGACGAUCCGUAACGGGUCUGAGAGGAUGAUCAUUCCCACUGGAACUGAGACACGGACCAGACUCGUACGGGAGGCAGCAGUGGGGAAUAUUGGACACUGGGCGAAAGCCUGAUCCAGCCAUGCCGCGUGUGUGAAGAAGGUCUUCGGAUUGUAAAGCACUUUAAGUUGGGAGGAAGGGCAGUAAGUUAAUACCAUGCUGUUUUGACGUUACCAACAGAAUAAGCACCGGCUAACUCUGUGCCAGCCGCCGCGGUAACAC
rnacentral:rRNA from 1 species